GGCACUGAGGGGGGCACUUGGCAGGAUGAGCACUCGGCGUUAUGCUAAAUGUUGGCAAAUUGAACUCCAAUAAUUUUUUUUUUAAUUUAUCCCCUUAUUGCCUAGACUGGGCUAGAUUCCUCCUCUCCCUGGCAUACAAAAUGGGGAAGGGCAUUCAAAGCAGUGGGAACAGCAUAUGCAAAAUCUUGCAAGUGUGAAACUUCAGAAAGUAUUAAUAGAAUGGCAAGCAAUCGAUCUGAAGAGGCAUUGGAUAGUUGGAGGAGAGCUGAAGGAGAAGUGAAAAUGAAGCCUCAUUCCUUGAGGGCCCAAGAUAAUCGCGUUAAGUCUGGCUUUGCUUCUAGAAUGCAAUGGGGCGUCAUAGAGGGUGGUAAGCAGGAGCGUGAUGUCAUCAACUCUGUUGUUGAGGUAGCAUUGACAGCUGAGGACGGGCGGAAUGGGAAGGAGCAAGGAGGAAGGAGAGUGGUCAGGAAGCCCUUGCUGUCACCUGGGAGGAGAGAGAGGAUGAGGAUUCUAUCAAAGCUGGGCCACGAGGGUGAGAAGCAGAGGAUGGGCUCAAGAGAUACAGAGAAGUGAAACUCCAAAGGUUUUGAGUCUGAUCAGAAACAUGGGUGGAAGAAGGAAGGUCUCACUGGUGACUUGAGCUUCUCAUUCCCAGGAAUGAUGUCAGAGCUGGAGGGACAUUCAAGACCACACACUCAACUGUCUUUGUGGCCCAGAGAAGGGCAAGUCACAGAGAGAGAGAGAGAGAGGCAGAGACACAGGCAGAGGGAGAAGCAGGCUCCAUGCACCGGGAGCCCGACGUGGGACUCGAUCCCCGGUCUCCAGGAUCGCGCCCUGAGCCAAAGGCAGGCGCCAAACCGCUGCGCCACCCAGGGAUCCCCUGGAAGAGACAUUUACACCCAUCCGCGUCCCGCCGGUGAGAAUGAGGCCUGUUGCAUCGUCUCACAGUAACGUGAACGGGACAGUCCAGUCCCUGGCUGCUCUGCUACCCCUUGGGAACAGCUGUAUACAGUGAGGGGACAUCUGGAGGGAAGCAGGUCAUCCCUGCCGACCAGCACAACUUCUCUCGAGUCCCCCUAGGGUCUGAGCCAUCAGGUGUCAGAGGCUGUGAAUGGGGUCCCCUCCUGUUUCUAAGUGGCAAGCAGUGUUUUCUUAAACUUGAAUGCUGCACGUACCACUUCUGAGAAUGUGGCUGUAUCCGUACAACCCCUGUAUUAUGAUGGACUUAAUACUCUCUUUAAAUCAAAUCACUUUUUAAUGUAGCUUCAUGUGAAUAGUAUCUGGGAGAUUGUGGUUUUGAUGUGCUAAUUAUAUCUGUCCAAUGUACUCAUAUACUCUAAAAAUAAAUUCAUAAUGAUUCCAAUAAAAAUAUGUGCAUGUACACCAGCCCCAAAUGUUUGUACGUGCUGGUGGUAUGAGUCGCACUUUGCGGAAAGUACUGGGUCUGUGUAACUGCCCUCUACGAUGUGGCCCAUGUCUUUCUUUCUGCCUUAUGGUCUCCCCCUUCCCUGUGGCUCACAAGCCUCCAGGUUCAUGGGCAUUUUUGUUCCUCAAACCUGCCAAACCAAUUCCUGCUACAGAGCCUUUGUACUGGCUGCUGUCUCUGCUAGGAAUGCUUCCCCCACUUGUCUCACUCUUUCUGGACAUUAAUGUUUAUUCGGCAGAUCUACUGGUCUUAUGCCCCACCCCACCACACGCUGCCCAGCCCACUCCUCUCUGUCCCUUGAAAGCAAUUUCCAAGAUAUAACAUGGUCUGUUUGUUUGCUUGCUGAUUUAUUGUUUCUCUGUGCCCAGUAAAAUGUAAACUCUGUAGAAGCAGAGAUUUUAUCUGCACUGUGUAGUCCACUUUCCCAGCACUUAGCACAGGGCCUGGCCCAUAAUACAUGCUCCAUAAAUAUGUGUUAGAUGAAUAAAAACUGCUGAAAACAGAUACAUAGGUCACUAGUCAAAUGAAGAUUAAAAUACAGUUUUGUCAGUUGUUUGGUAAUUUCUAAUAUGCAACUUGUCAACUGCUUAGCAGCUUGGAAGUGAGGCUACUGUGGGGGCGCCCGACUCCAUCCCUGCAAUUCACGGGUGCAUAGGUCAACUGAGUGGCCCACCCAGCCACAGAAGCUGGCCAAGGGAGAGGGGCCAGACACACCUCUAGAAGAAACUUGCAGCAAGGAGGCAAGCGGUGAGGAGACAACAGGCCAAGGACAAGCCAUUCCUUCCUUAGGCCACAAGCAGCCAUGCUGGCCCAGAGUCUGCCCACAUGGAACACGGCCUUUACCAGAUUGGCUCCUGCCCUUCCUCCAUGGGGACAGUAGGAGUUAGAGGUGGGGAUGGAGUAAAAGUAAGGGAUGUUGAAACACCUGAAAGUGUCCGAUCCACACCUUGAAAUGAGAACUGGGAAGUGGGGGUGAAAGCCCCCUCAUUCGUGAGGAUGGUGGACAUGGUUUUCCUUACAAAAGGAAUCAGUCCACAAAAGAAAUCCAAGGUUAUAAGCCAAUGUUCCCCAUCCCCUGCCCCCACCCCUGCUCCCUCCAGAGGUACCUCUGCCGUGGAUGCUGGGAUGCACCUCCCCAACCCCCUUCAGAACAGAGGCACUCUUUUCAGCCAGUACUGCUGGCAUCAGAGCUGAGUCUCUUCCCAGGAAUUGUCCUGCCUCACCUGGGGCAACAUGUCCAUCCUUCGGAUGGUUCACAUCCAAUGUCUAGAUGAUACGGGGUGCAAAGUCCUGCCCUUUGCCUCAGUCAAGGGCAACUCUAAAGGGCUGUGUGGCUCCAGACCAACCUUGCCUACCAUUUAGUUUUCUUCUGCUAUCCAACCCGCUCCUUUCAGUUCCCAGUAAACUCCUUGCUCACAAAGUCCGCUCUCAGAGUCUGUUUCCCAGGGAACCCUAGGAUGACAUGUGUAAAACCCUAGUUGGCCCUGUCCUCCACAAUCAGUCGCCAUAUUGCCUAGGUGAGAACUAGUUUCCCACCAAAGACUUGUAUUAGAUUUGCUUCCUGUAGGGGAUCCCUGGGUGGCUCAGUGGCUUAGCACCUGC